rnacentral:rRNA from 1 species
AUUGAACGCUGGCGGCGUGCUUAACACAUGCAAGUCGAUCGGUAACGCGGGGGCAACCCUGGCGACGAGAGGCGGACGGGUGAGGAACGCUUGGGAAUCUGCCUAUCAGCGGGGGACAACACGGGGAAACUCGUGCUAAUACCGCAUACGCUCUACGGAGGAAAGCCGGGGACCGCAAGGCCUGGCACUGAUAGAUGAGCCCAAGUCGGAUUAGCUAGUUGGCGGGGUAACGGCCCACCAAGGCGACGAUCCGUAGCUGGUCUGAGAGGACGAUCAGCCACACUGGAACUGAGACACGGUCCAGACUCCUACGGGUGGCUG